CCCUUAGAUGUUCUGGGCCGCACGCGCGCUACACUGACGAAUGCAACGAGCUUAUAACCUUGGCCGAAAGGACUGGGUAAUCUCCAAAUUUCGUCGUGAUGGGGAUAGAUUAUUGCAAUUAUUAAUCUUCAACGAGGAAUGCCUAGUAAGCGCAAGUCAUCAGCUUGCGUUGAUUACGUCCCUGCCCUUUGUACACACCGCCCGUCGCUCCUACCGAUUGAAUGGUCCGGUGAAGCGUUCGGACCGUGGCCUUUGGACGGUUCGCCGUCUGUUGGCUGCGGGAAGUUCGUUAAACCUUAUCAUUUAGAGGAAGGAGAANUCGUANCA
rnacentral:rRNA from 1 species